UCUCACCGCCAGCCCUCCGUGCGCCCGCGCCGUCGCUGCGCGUGACCAUUCACGCGCGAAAUUCAAACUCCCAUCAUUCAUAAUACCGAACCCAAGUUUUGUGUUUUUGAUAUUAUCUAUGACAACCAUACAAGUGAAUUUUAUAGUGUUCUGUGCCAAUAUAGUGACGUUUGCAAAAAGCUUCAGUUUCUGAACGGAUAACCGUUCAGGUGACACUUUCACUUCAAGAGUUUUUGCAAUCGCCUAGGCCCAUUCGAGGCGGCGACGGGGGGCGAGAUGGUGUCACGGCGGCGUAUACUAUCGCGGUCGCGCGAUGACCUUACUCAGGCAUUCGCCACACAGGUGGAGGAAGAAGAAGAUGUGUGGUAUCAGAAGGAUAAACUUUAUAAGGAACACAUUCAAGAAGUGUUAGACAAAUGGACACAGAUUGACGACGAGAUCUGGGCAAAGGUGAUAGUGUUCGAGCGCAACAGACGAGUAGCUAAGGCGUAUGCGCGGGCGCCGGUGCUCACUAUCAACGGGUCCGAUGACGGAUUCGACGGCAUGAGAAUCGGCUUAUGCGGAUUCGACAACCCACACAGAGAUCCGAAGACAGAUGAAUUAAAGAGACACAUAGGACAGGGCGUCAAAAUAAAAAUGGACGAUGCCGGCAAUAUACUCAUCAGGCGCUAUUCCAAGAGUAGCGUGUUUGUGAAGAGUACAGCAGCGACUAGCAACGAGGAAACGGCGAUAGGACAGGACAUAAUGAAGCUGCCGGGAUACUCGUUGGAACAGGAGAAAAUAUUCAAGUUAUUCGAUAUGAAGAAAUUCCAGUCAAAUGUGAACAGAGAACUACGGAGGGCAUAUCCCGACCGCCGAAGGCUGGAGACGCAAUGCCUUAGUGCAAUAGCUUUCGUCAAGUCAGAAAGUGACUUGCUGGAGUGUCCCAUCUGGGUAAUGAUCAUCAACGUCGUGGCUAUGGACAUGCUCAAAUCUAAACUGCCACCUGUCCAAAGACCAAUGGACAUCAAGAAUAGACCUCGCAUUCCAAUCCCGGACGAGGACCCUUACAGCAUUGCCAGUUCCAAUGCCAACGGUUCAGGUUCCAGCGGCUCGUCGGGAGGCUAUGGACACAAUGGACAUGGAGUGGUGGCGGCGACCAGGGAACAGCUUAUGAUGCAAAUGGGACAGAGGAGAGGGGACAAACCUCCGAAACUUCCUCCGAGAGAGAAUGGUUAUGGGCCUGCUGAUAUUCCCAAGCCGGACUACGAUGAUAUCGACAUAAACGGACGUGUGCCGACACAGUUCCCUCGUGGCAAGUCGGAUAAGGGCAAAGACAACAAGAAAUACGAUGAUCCUUAUUAUUGCGGUCUGCGAGCACGCGUCCCCAACUUUGUAAAGACAAACGGCGUCAAACACCUGCCACAAAUGACGGAGCGCCUUUCCCUGAAGGACGCUCCAGUGCCCAGCAAACGCUACAGCGUGGCCCACGCGCACCCCGGCCCCUUCCCGCCGCACAUGGCCCCCUUCGCGCACGCCCCAAUGCCACCUGCAGCCCUCUGGCACGCUCGCUCAUACGAAAGCGGAAUCGGUGCGUACGGACCCAAAAAGGAGAAGCUCAUCUACCAAUUCUACCCUGACAGGGAACGACGAUUAGUGCGGCCGCUCAUCAUCCAGCAGCCUCGCUAGUGUACAUACAGACUAACCUCGCACAUUAACCUCCGGACUUCGCUCCAACCUUGAUGGAGACCACUAUGAUCCAUACGCGUUGUACGGCCGCCUCCCGAUUCCUGGACGUGGAUUUCCUCCGCCUCCAGCAUCCCAUGCUCGUCACAUGUUUAUCGGCGAUUGGGAUUAAAUAACGACGUUUUAAGACUAGAAAUAUUAUAUUAUAUAUUUUUUCGAACGACAAUCAAGCAGAACAACAAGACAUCUAGAUGCAUUUUAUGGUCUCAACAAAUUUUAAAGCAAAUUGUCUUUCGUAGAUAGAUUGUUUAGUAGGUACAGUCGAUGUCCUAAAAUACCAGAUCCCCUCCAAGUAUUUGGUUCUGAGUAAAUAAGUGUAAAGAAAUGUGUUAAAGAAGCUUAACCUUUAACCUAUGAGCCGUAAAAUCCAUUUUGAUAUGACUUACUUAUUGCACCAUACUAUUUAAAUUAUUUAACUACCUCCGUGGCCGAACUGUUACCAUACUGGUUUGCCACGCAGAGAACCAAUAUUCGAUUCGUAGGCCAGGAGAAAUAUUUGUAUGGUCUACAUUUGUGUGCGGGAAGAGUGUGGAAAAAAAUUAUUAGAAUGCCUUGUUAAAAUUUUUUUUAACCUAAUUUGAUCUCUAAUUACAUUACGUAAACAUAAAAAAAAUUUCAACCAAAAAGAUGGAAUUCCUUUAGACUUCUUUGUAUAAUGCGUAAGAAGGCUCUCAAAACCGAAAGG